GGCAAAUCCUAGCCCCUUCCCCCAAGGGGUCGGAGGAGCAAUUGCGUUUUGGCCUCAAAGAGAAAUCCUGUUGACUGGAACAAGGGCUGCUGCAGCCAGGGCUGGAACAAAACUUUUUAAGCCUAGAGCUGAGAAAACACCAGGUGGUAACAGGAGCUGCAAAUUGCUAAGUAACUCUGGCAAAGUUCCUCUGCACCCUCAUUUCCAGAAAAAAGCCCUGAGGCUGUUUUCUCUAUCUGUGGAGCGGCCUCCUUCCUUUAGCGAGUUCAGGAUUUGCAGACGUAAGGAGGAGAGCAGCGAGAGCUGAUUUCGCCCCCACCUUUCUCUGCUUCUGCUAUCCAGCGUGCCGUGCACAGCCGUCAUCCAGGAGGCCACCGUUGGUCCUCAGCCUGUGCACGCAGCUGCUCCUGCGUUGCCGUAUGAACGGUCGAGGCUUCGCUGACAGAGAGCCUGGGGCUGCCUGCUUUCAGCCGCUAGAAGAUCAGAUGCCAUUUCAAGCAGGUCUGAGAAGGGACUGAAGAAGGUAAGGACUUCAGUCUCAAGUCAUAUGAAGCAAGAAAUAAGAAUAACUGGAAAUCGAGGACGAGAUGGAAUGCAGGCCGCUAAGGGAUUAUAACGGAGAAAGUACAACAUGUGCCAUAAAAGAUUACACACAUCCUGCCACACUCCGCAGAUGGCUGAUACAAAAAUCAGAGACAAUACUAAAAUAAUUAAAAAACUCACAAAAAUAAACCAGUGCAUUCAGCUCCUUUGUGAGGCUGUGGCUAAGGAAACUGAGCCAGCCAGCCUGAAAUGCACAAUAUAAAUACCGGCAGGCUGCGUGGGAUCUCGGCGAGCGGAAGGAUGCUUGUGAACUUGUCGGCAAGCAGAAAACGGACAAGGUUGAUGUGACUGACCUUCUGUGCUGAAGCCUGAUCCUUCCUGUCGUUUGAGAUGGCGGUGCAGGAAGAAAAGAUCACUGAGUACACCCGUGUAUUGGAGAUGCCCAGCUCUGCUGCAGGAGCGGCAAGUGGAAGCAAGAACGUGCUUGGGAUCUCGCUGUAAAAAACAGGGUCUAAAUCAGUUGCCGACCCUGUGCUGGCAUCGCAUGUGGUGUAGAAAUCCCCUCUCCGUGGCCUUGGACCUCAGCAGCUCCCUGCUGCAGCUCGUCACCCUGCCUCUGGCUAACGAACUCCCGCAAAACUCCACGUCCUCACCAAGAAACGAGCAAAUCCAGCCACAGCUCUUGUGCUGGGACCUUCCAGGUGGAGACGGUGCGUUGCUGAGCUCCCGCUGUCCUCUCCCAUCUCCCGCUGAAUGACUGAGCUUGUGAAUCAACAGACCAAAAACUCUCCAAAUGGCAUGGGAUGCCUCACUGCUUCUCACAUGGUUCUGCUGGAGCUGCAAGCUGGGCAGGCCAGGAGGAACCGGCAUGCCGGGCAAAUGCUGGCAGGUGUCACAUGCAGACCAGUGGAGCAUGUUGUCCUCUGCUUGCUGGCCGCCGCUGUGUCUCCCUUGUUCGUUUUGGUCCAACUAACCCCAGGCGGGAAGCCAGCUGCUUCAGCCAGGGGAAAUGCAGGAGCAGAUCUGGAACCCUCUGUCUGUGCUCUGUAGCGCCUUUAUUCUGCGAGUUCGCACAAGAAACUCAAACCUCCAUCCAGCGUGGGAAAGCACUUCUUCAUGUGCUCAACUUCAGCUGGGUGAGAGCUGGUGAAGUACUUCCAGAGCCCGUGUGCAUGGGUGAGAGGGCAGAGCCCCAGCGGCUGAGCUGCCCUCCCGGCUCGGGGCUUAGCUGGAUGAGGCUGCCGGUCCCUGUUACCAAGUGGUCAAGCCGGGCACUGGCACAGGAAACCUCCCCUGGCGGCACAAGGAGAGAUUUGAACUGACAACAGUGAGAAUCCCUUUGGAUGUGGAAAACCAUCCAUUUGCCUUGCACAGUACAGCUACGGUUAACCACUGCUAAUUGCAACAGCUACCAGAGCAAUCAUUCGGAGCCAGACCGCUUCAGGUAUUGAGUGAAGGUUUUGUGCUUUUAUGGAGUGUUUCUGGAGGACUCUGAGGAUAAUAGCAUGACAUAUUUUGCUCUCCUGUUUUUUCUUUCCUACACACCUGUUAUGUGUAUUAUGAAAGCUCCAGGUAACCAGGUUCUCAAUGGAGGCAGCUUCUUGCCCCCACCAGGCUCCAGCUACAAGCCUGGUGUGUGUCCACCUUGGUAACGUGGUGGCCUGGCCAGGCUGAGCACCGAGACGUCCUGCUGAUGCCCUGCCUGGGCAGGGGAUGUCCAGCCCGCGUGACUGCAGAGCAUGGUAUGGUGUAGGCAGCAAAAGAGUAGGCAGAGAAGGUGGGUUGGGACAUAUGUGUCAAACUGGGCUCCUUGCCCUUGCUCUUGCAGGAGAUCUGGCUUCUCACAACAACGUAGGUGUGAACGCUGUGUGAUAUUGGGUCCUCUUCAACUUUGGGUCUCUUCCAAGGCACAGAUACGCAGGCCAGAGGGUCUUCAGUUGAGGGGCUUCGUUGUCACAACACAAUUGUAGCCAUGGACUUGCUCAAAAUCGGGAAAAACCCAAAAUCUGAAGAUGUACAGAGCAGAGAGCCAACUUGAGUUAAGAGUGUUAUAAAAGGAGAAUAUUUUGAAUUCCAUUUUUUUUUAUGAUUUCAUCUUUAUACAUAUCGUAUAAAUCCUCCAAAAUGGAGCACAGUGCGAUAUUUCUUUCCUCUGGUUUACUUUUUUCUCAACUCUUGCAAAGAAUUUUCUAUCACAAUUUUGAGGUUUAUUAAAAAAAAUCCUAUGGGAAAUGAGUACCAUUCUUUAUUAAACUACAUAGGAUAUGUUCCUAAGAGUCUCUCACACUCCUCCCACACACAGCUUCCUACAUGUGAGAUAAAUUAAGAAUGUCACUAUCUUUGAUGCCAGAAGUAUUUCCAUCUUCCACUGCAAAUAUGCAGUGAUGCAUCUAGAAUAGCACUGUCAAGGGAAGAAAUCUUCACAUGAACAAAAUUUAGCUGUCUGUGUUCCUGUUCUACGUGCACUUAAGCAUUUAUCCACAGUGGAUAUUUACUUCUGUGAGAUCAUGCCAGGUGCAGGUAAAAGGAGGAAGAAAACUCUUCUUUCUUCAUAUCUAAAGCUGUUCUGAGGGUAUUUCUGUGCUUUGCGGGAAGCGUGGCUCAUCUGCUCGAGCACAGAGAUAUCUCCGUGUAUAUUGGGCCUUCCCAUGAGUUGUAUCAACCCUGCUAUGGUCUUGCAAAACAGUAGAAGGGGUUGAUUGAAGGGCUUUGCGCUUGCUAGUAGCACGGAGGUUGCUGAGGAAUCUGGGUGACCCUUGCUGGCAUGCAGGGCAUUGUCUGCACCUCGUUUUGCAGAGCCAAAGGGCAGACAUCAGCGCUGGGUUUGUGCUUGCGCUUCUCCCUUGCGGCCAGUCAUGCCAAAAUAUGCGCAUGUAAUAGCUUUCCCUUUUCCUAAUGCCUCUUACUAGAAUGUUGUUUAAAAAUAAUGUGUUUUCCUGCCAUUAAAAACACUAGGUACAAGUGGAGAACUGGAUAGAAAUGCAUUGCUUAAUAAUUAAAACAGAAAUUCAAAUUUCAGGGAGUGCAGUCAGUCUCACAGAGUACCUGAUCUGGUGUCCAGUGUGCAGUACAGUAGCAAGAAAUGCACCCACAGCACCACUCCUCCAUGGGAAGGUACAAAUUAGAAAUUUCAAGGACUGUUGAACACUGUGAAUUUCCACUGUGGAUCAGCACAAAGUUAUUUGGCACAGGAAGUUCUGUAACUGUGUUACAUUGGGAAGCUUCAUAUUGUGCAAUGGCCCUAAAACUCAUCCUCCCCCCUUUAACAUUUGGAGAGCCAGUGUUAAGACAUAUUUAAUAUAAAGCAGAUAGAUAGGAUACUAGCUGACUGGAGUGUUGUUUUUUUUUUUUGUCUCUUGUUGCCUUUUCAUUAUUCAUCUUAGGAUCAUCUCCUUUGCAAUUUAUAUUCAGCAUAAAUAAUAAUUAAACCAGGAGACAGAGAUGUUACAGUGUAAACGUGAAGAAAAAUUCCCUGAAAAAUUCCCUGUCCCUGAUGGGGAACAAAGUUACAAAGGUAGCCAGGACAUGAAGAGUCUUCUCUAGUCUAAGGAAAUGUGGUCCUUUGCUAAUGCCUGCUGGAGAGAAGGAAAGCAUUAACAUGCAAACGCUGCUCUUAAGUGCCCAGAAUGUAGUGAUUAAAGCACUCUUGCUGUGUGAUCUUAGGCCUCUUACCCUUUCUAUUCGUUAAUUAAUUUCCUCUAUCAUUUAUGUAUUAAUAAAAACAAAUUACCUGCUUCAUGGGAGGUGAGAGGUUUUAUUCAUUUCUGUUUGCAAACAGCUUUGAGAUCCAAGGAAGGAAGGAAGAUGUUACAGAAAUGUGAUGCCUGUAUGUAGUGCAUAAAUGAUAUAUGACAAGGUUUUAUUUCUUGGCAGUGUGAUAAUUUGGCCUUGAAGUAAGUCUUUUUCCUUUUCUGCGUCUAAAUUUCUUUUUCUGACAUUGUCAAACAAGGUGCAGCCUUUUACUCUAAUGUGAUACGUAAAUGAGUGAGUUUAUGAACGCAUCUGUUUGGGGUGCCUUUGUUUCAGCCUCCUUUCUUAAGCAAGCGUCUAUGGGUGACUCAGUGCCUAUGGAGCCUUCUACCAACAGGUCAUGAGUUUGAAACUAGUGCUGGGAUUCAAAAUUGCUUCCGUGUCCCACCUUUAUGAGAUUACCAUGGAUUCAUCUCCUGGAAUCAA